UAGAGGGCAUCUUGGUAAUUUUCCAUGCCUGCUGAACAUAAGAAGCCAACACUGGGAAAACGGCAGAAGUGCAGAACGACGUAACAGCCACAAAGAGAGAGAGGGAGCGCGGCAUCGGAGAGAGAGAGCGGCGUCGACGAGAGAGAGCGACCGGUGCAGGAGUAGAGGGCGGCGAGGGAUGUUAGCUCGGAGGCUGCCAUGGCUCUGACAGUGACGACGGUUAAACGGCUAGGGUUCCGAUUAAGUUCCGGCAUCUUUCCGGUGACGAUGGUUAAACGGCUAGGGUUCCGAUCAAGUUCUGGCAUCUUUCCGGUAAUCUCCGGUGAGGUUCCAGCGAAGAUUCCAGGGAACGAACUUUAAGAUGCAUGUUUCUUUUUCGAGUAGAUCAACAAACCCCAAGGUUAGGUUCUGUGAUUUAGCGGAAUGAACAUGGAAACCCACCACAGACCUGCAUCUCUAACCACGUGUCGUUGCCUCAGGAUCUUUGAUCCCACGUGUUCAUUCCCUCUACCUGUUAUUAACAGUAGAGAGAGAUAUUGAAGGGCUGGACCGGUGACCUCCCUACGGACGCAUUUGGAAUCGAUUGACCGGUGUUUGGUGGUGUCCGAUCACGGCAGUAGUCACGGUCACGACGAGUGAUACGGUGACGGUUAAGAGGGGAAUCCGGUGGUAGCAGGUGCAAAGGUGUUCUUGGAUCAAGUUGAACUUCCAGCGAAUAAACCCUGGUUUCUGGCGAAGCUCCGUUGAACUGAUCAAGACUUGCAUGUUUCAGAUCUAUGUUGAUCGGUGACUCUCAGGCAACCCUUGACAGGACAAAGUUGGUAAGAGUUGGUCAAUACAGAAGUUAUGGAGGAGUUCUUUGGUGGAAAUCGAUUCAGGUUGGAAAGGGUUUAUAGGGAAGUACAGAGGAGGGGGAUCGGAGGGGUCGGAUUCGAGAUAAAAUCUCCUGUCCAGAAGGGGCAACAAGUUGAUAAGAAACCAGAGGCAGCGCUUAUCAAUGAAGGAAUUUGAAAAGGAUGCAACAGCAACAGUAGAGAAAGAAAGAGGUUGCUUUGAUGGUUAUGGCGGCAGUGCAGACCUGUAAAUUUAUAGCUUCUUUAGAAAAGUGGAUAGCUGUUAGAAGGAUGAGUACAAGGAUUCUUCCAAACAGGUAUAAUAUAGGUAAAUGAAAAUCAUCCCAAUCUUCUAAAUAAACUAUCUAUCGGAAGUUUUUUGUAUUGAAAAGACUAAAUGGUUGUCUGCAAUACAUGCAUGGUUCAAAUUGUAGGCUUGGAAGCUUUUAUACUAUUGUCAUUCUCCCUGUUUGGGAGCACCAUGGCCUUUUUUAAACCAAGACCCCUAUCAUAACAUAGCAAAAGAUUUUUUUGGUUGCGGUUCAAUAACAACAUUCAACAAGGCACAACAAAGUUUGUCGUCAACCAGGUUUUCUGACCGACCCUACCAAAAGCUCUUGAUUUACCGAGUGAAUGGGUAUUUUUAAAUUAUUAUAGAAAAUUGUGUAGGGCCACUAUUAAUUUCAAAAUCUAUUAAAUAAGGAUCCGUCAUCAGCAUGCUAAUUGUUAAGAAGUUGGGUUGAUGAAGGACUUGAUCAUUUAAAAGAACUAAAUAGAAAUUGAAUGGUACUUGAUAAAUACACUCUGUUGAUCAGCCAAUAUCAUAUGUUGUUAUAAGAAUACAACCAGAUAUGCAAUAUGUAUUGUUUUUAGAAAAUGUCUUUUUACAUUUAUAAAACAAAAAAAGCAUACAGAAAGCGUUAGAUUUGAUACAGUUUUAUACAAUAUGAUUCGACACACAAAGGCUUCGUCUCACCUGUAAUUGUUUACGUAGUUGGACUACCCAGUCCCCUCAACCCGAGCAUACUUAUGGGGGUCCCUCGUCCCACAAGCACGCCAUUAUUUGCGGUUGUGUGUUCAAACCGCACUGGAUAUAUACUUUAAGAGUAUACAGGGCUCUUUAUAUUAUACGGGGGUUAUUGGCGUGUGAUAGAAAUAAUCAUAAUAAUAAUAAUGCUCUUGGUUGGUUUGGUGUGAAUAACCACACCCUAUCACACACUUGACGCGUAAACCAGCUACAUAUGACCCAUGACCAUUUUUAUUUGUAUGAAAGCUCUAGGUACGUCCGUAAUCAUUAUUUCCGCUCACUGAUUGAUACUAUUGGUUUUACUUUAGCUAAUCAUCUUGGAACCGUGAUGCGCUAUCUUUUUUAUGGCCUUCUCAGAGGGUUUUAAAAUGUGAAUCAUGAUCGAAAAACUAUUAUUCGUUUGGCUGGAUGUGCAUUUUGACGGUGGUUAUUAAUGUGAUAUUAAAUAAUUAUUAUAAUCUGAUAACUUUAAUUAAACUGUUUUGUAGUAAUAAUUAAUUAUUUGGCUUCAAAUAAUAGAAGUAGAAUUUGUUUAUACAUUAUUGAUUCUGGCUUGCAAUUAUUUUGUCAUGUUGUUGGAAAUUGGAUGAAGCUUCACAGUUGCGGAUGCAAAUAGGAAUGCUGGAAUUAAUGGCCUAAACAAUUAAAGAGGUUUCACAUAACAGUAUACCGUUACUCAACAAUGAACAUGAGGAUACGGAUGAGUUAUCUACUUCUUCCCUUCAACGCCUUUCAGUAUCCUCUCCGCUAUCCGGUGGUGAAAGACUCAUACAUUCUCUCCAUUAUUCUGCAUAUAUAAAUAGAUCCCGUAUGUCUUUUAUGCUUCAAUAAAUAAAAUGGGUGUUAUAGUUGAUGGAUGGAAAAUGAAACAAGACAAGAAUGUUGUUCGAAUGACAACUAGCCGCAUUGCUUCCAAAAGGGGUCUAGCUGAGAUUGUAUGGGCAUGUCCAAAUUUACGAGUACUUGAUGUUUAUACAAUACACAUUUGUAUAUUUUUAUUAACACGUUGGUUGGUUGCACUUGGAUUGAUGAUUUGGUCAUGCUUGAUCUUGGUUAAAAUGGCAAGAGAGAAACAUGCUUGGGAUUUUGAAUAUUCUCAACUGAAUUUAUUUCCUUUUUAUUCA